rnacentral:rRNA from 1 species
GUCUAUGGUUACACCACCCUAAACAUGCUCAGACUUACCUGAUUUUGGAAGUUAAGCAGGUUGGUCCUGGUUAGUACUCUGGACAGGAGACUGCAUAAACU